rnacentral:tRNA from 1 species
GCCUUCGUGGUGUAGUGGUCAGCCGCUGGGCCCGUAUUCCAGAGGUCCGUGGUUCGAGUUCCGGCGAAGGCU